rnacentral:rRNA from 1 species
GUAGGGGGCGAGCGUUGUCCGGAAUGACUGGGCGUAAAGGGAGUGUAGGCGGCAAUAUAAGUUAGAUGUGAAAUCCCGCGGCUCAACCGCGGAACUGCAUCUAAAACUAUAUAGCUGGAGUGCAGGAGAGGUGAGUGGAAUUCCUAGUGUAGCGGUGGAAUGCGUAGAUAUUAGGAGGAACACCAGAGGCGAAGGCGACUCACUGGACUGUAACUGACGCUGAGGCUCGAAAGCGUGGGGAGCAAA